rnacentral:rRNA from 1 species
AAUAGAUACCCGGGUAGUCCACGCCCUAAACGAUGUCUACUAGUUGUCGGGGGGUAACUCCUUCGGUAACGCAGCUAACGCGUGAAGUAGACCGCCUGGGGAGUACGGUCGCAAGAUUAAAACUCAAAGGAAUUGACGGGGACCCGCACAAGCGGUGGAUGAUGUGGAUUAAUUCGAUGCAACGCGAAAAACCUUACCUACCCUUGACAUGCCACUAACGAAGCAGAGAUGCAUUAGGUGCCCGAAAGGGAAAGUGGACACAGGUGCUGCAUGGCUGUCGUCAGCUCGUGUCGUGAGAUGUUGGGUUAAGUCCCGCAACGAGCGCAACCCUUGCCAAUAGUUGCUACGAAAGGGCACUCUAUUGGGACUGCCGAUGACAAACCGGAGGAAGGUGGGGAUGACGUCAAGUCCUCAUGGCCCUUAUGGGGUAGGGCUUCACACGUCAUACAAUGGCUGGUACAGAGGGUUGCCAACCCGCGAGGGGGAGCCAAUCCCACGAAACCAGUCGUAGUCCGGAUUGCAGUCUGCAACUCGACUGCA